CGCCGGUGCGAGACGGGAGUGACCACGAGCCAAACCAGUUUUUCGCGGUAAAAAAUGCCCCGAAAACGGAAGCAUGUUACGGAGAGAACCUCAAAAAGCAUGUUUGCCUAUCAACAGGCUUAUGAGGAAGUGAUCUCUGGAAAGUCCUUAAGAAAAGCGGCCCAAAUGUUUGAUUUGGAUCAUGUCUCUUUGGCGAGAUACAAAAAAAAAAGAGAAGCUGCGCCAGAUACGACACCUAUAGAAGAUAUAAAAAUGGGUUACAAUUCUGUAAAAAAAGUGUUUUCAACUGCUCAAGAAGAGGAGAUUGCUGAAUAUGCAAUAAAGUCAGCCGAUAUUUACUUCGGACUGUCUACCAAAGACUUGAGGAAAUGUAGAGAGAGAGAGAGACGCAAAGCUUGUUACAGAAUGCAAUCAAAACAUUUCAUUUUGUAGCAUGUCUUGUCACCCACUCUCUCUAUGCUUUUAAAUUGUAUAUUUUUUUAAAUUUUGGUUAAUGGUUAUUAAUAAUAUAAACUUUGUUUUAUAUUACAUAAAAUACAUAAUUUGUUAUUUUAAUUUGACAUAUCGCCAUAUGGUAAUAUUUUUGUUUAUGUGUAGAGAGAGACACAAAACUUGUUACAGAAUGUUUUAUAAUAAUAUGUUGAUUAGAUAUGUUUGAUACCUAUAUAAUAAUAAUACAUUUUAGCAACAACCGACUGCUGCCAACCGGCUGAUUAAACAGGUCGGCCACUGCUAAAAUUUAUAUCAGAGAGAGUUAAGGAUUUUUUUUUGAUAGGCAUAUCGCCAUGUUUUUGUUUACGUAAUAAAACAAUUUAUACUGA